rnacentral:rRNA from 1 species
AUUGAACGCUGGCGGCAGGCCUAACACAUGCAAGUCGAACGAGUGGCGUACGGGUGAGUAAUGUCUGGGAAAGUGCCUGAUGGAGGGGGAUAACUACUGGAAACGGAAGCUAAUACCGCCUACCAUCGGAUGUGCCCAGUUGGGAUUAGCUAGUAGGUGGGGUAAAGGCUCACCAAGGCGACGAUCCCUAGCUGGUCUGAGAGGAUGACCAGUCACACUGGAACUGAGAAACGGUCCAGACUCCUACGGGAGGCAGCAGUGGGGAAGAUUGCACAAUGGGCGAAAGCCUGAUGCAGCCAUGCCGCGUGUGUGAAGAAGGCCUUCGGGUUGUAAAGUACUUUAAGCGGGGAGGCGUUACCAGCAGAAGAAGCACCGGCUAACUCCGUGCCAGCCGCCGCGGUAAUAC